CAGCAGACACAUUCCAGCCAAUCAGCAGCAGACCCUCCCUCCCAGACUCUCCCACCUGGACAGCAUCCAUUUUGAAGCUGCAUUCUUAGUGAGCUGUCCAGGAGGUGGAAGGGUCUGGGAGGGAGGGUCUGCUGCUGAUUGGCUGGAAUGAUGAGUCCG